UGGCGGACGGGUGAGUAACGCGUGGGUAACCUGCCUCAUACAGGGGGAUAACAGUUGGAAACGACUGCUAAUACCGCAUAAGCGCACAGUACCGCAUGGUACGGUGUGAAAAACUCCGGUGGUAUGAGAUGGACUCGCGUCUGAUUAGCCAGUUGGCGGGGUAACGGCCCACCAAAGCGACGAUCAGUAGCCGACCUGAGAGGGUGACCGGCCACAUUGGGACUGAGACACGGCCCAAACUCCUACGGAAGGCAGCAG
rnacentral:rRNA from 1 species